rnacentral:misc_RNA from 1 species
AAGUCGUAACAAGGUUUCCGUAGGUGAACCUGCGGAAGGAUCAUUACAGAGGUUUUUCUUUAACCUAUUUUGUGAAUUUUAUACUGGUGUGUAUGUUUGUGAGUGAGAACGAGUGCGGAGCACGAGUUGAUAUCAAUUUGUGAAAGCAAUGAGUUCAAGCACCCCGUUCAAUACACAAUACAUAUGCACCCAAACACUUUAAAAUCAAUUUUUGUCUGAAGAAAGAGAAAUGAAAAAA